UUUACAAGAAUGCCAUAAUGGCAAACUUGUAAAUAAUUGAAACUUCAAAUAAAUAUCUAGAUAUUUUCCUAAGCUAAACUUGGUGCCCAAGUCUCUAUUUCAUCUUCUCCAUUUGAGUGUGGGUGCCGAACCAUUCAAGCUCAAAACACAAAAAUUUAUCCUUUGAUUUUCUCUCAAAAUUUUCUUAACGGAAAUUGACGAGGAGCUUACGUAGAUCAUUAAUCUAUAAUUGCAUGUUCGUUUGAGAUCCAGCGAGUUUUGUCGCGGAAACCGGCGAGCAAAGGUUUUGAUAUUCGACGGGUGGUAUUUUUAUAAUUGGAAUAAGCGAGUACUGCGAGUAGUUUGACGUGUGGAUUUCCAAUUUCUUGUUCCGGAAAUCCCUGGCUUGAAUAAAGUGAGAAUGACUUUCCUUUAUGUGUCUAGAGUUGCAGUAGCUAGAAUAAUGAACGGUGAUACCUUAGUAGUCGUUGGACUUAUUUAUGCUUUAUAUUUUAUUAUAACGCUUAAACUCUGAUAA